rnacentral:rRNA from 1 species
GAUGAACGCUGGCGGCGUGCCUAAUACAUGCAAGUAGAACGCUGAAGGAGGAGCUUGCUCUUCUGGAUGAGUUGCGAACGGGUGAGUAACGCGUAGGUAACCUGCCUGGUAGCGGGGGAUAACUAUUGGAAACGAUAGCUAAUACCGCGUGACAACAGUUAUUGCAUGAUAACUGUUUAAAAGGGGCAACUGCUCCACUACCAGAUGGACCUGCGUUGUAUUAGCUAGUUGGUGAGGUAACGGCUCACCAAGGCGACGAUACAUAGCCGACCUGAGAGGGUGAUCGGCCAAACUGGGACUGAGACACGGCCCAGACUCCUACGGGAGGCAGCAGUAGGGAAUCUUCGGCAAUGGACGGAAGUCUGACCGAGCAACGCCGCGUGAGUGAAGAAGGUUGUCGGAUCGUAAAGCUCUGUUGUAAGAGAAGAACGAGUGUGAGGGUGGAAAGUUCACACUGUGACGGUAUCUUACCAGAAAGGGACGGCUAACUACGUG